rnacentral:lncRNA from 1 species
UCUUUCCAGCCGCCCUGUGGGGAAGGUGUCUUGCUUCCCCUUCACCUUCCACCAUCAGUGUAAGUUUCCUGAGGAUUCCCCAGCCGUGCUGAACUAGAUGUGGUCUCACUGUGUUGCCUAGGCUAGUCUCAAACUCCUGGCCUCAAACUAUCAUCCCACCUUAGCCUCCCAAAGUGCCGGGAUCACAAAUUUGUCCCAUAGCAUAAGAUUCACACUCAAUACUAUCAUCCUUUGGGUCUCUAAGACACCAACCUAAAAGCAGAAGAAGGCUUCAAAGGUGGAAGAAGAUGUGAGCCUGGGUGAUUGAAAAAUAGAUGUGCCAUUACCCUGAAAUAGGACUUCUUCAAGGCAAAGGCUGAUACAGUGGUGGCUACAGUCUAUGUUGUGAUUUGAUGGAACUUUUCACUUUUCACCAUUCAAACCAGUAUCCAGAGGUACAGUUGCUGCAUAACUUCCUCAUUAUCCAUAGGACCAAACUAAAUGUCUCUGGUUUGAAAUUUUGACUAGAAAUUAUAUACAUCUGCCAGCAAUUAUUGUGGGUGUAACUGAAGUGCACACUGCUCACUGCCCCUCAAUAACAUCAUUUUCAAAUAAUAACAUUGGAAAGAGGUACUUUCCUAAAACUUUCAAGUGAUCUACAAUCUCCCAGACUACUUUUACAAUGGAUUUUUUUUUUUUUUACUAGAUGUGUUAUUUCAAUUUUGGCCGCUAACCAAAAGGCAGGACAUUGCUGGUGAAUUUAAGCUGUUCAAUUAUACACAAAAAAGAAUCUGAGC